CACUCCUACGGGAGGCAGCAGUGGGGAAUUUUGGACAAUGGGCGAAAGCCUGAUCCAGCAAUGCCGCGUGAGUGAAGAAGGCCUUCGGGUUGUAAAGCUCUUUUGUCAGGGAAGAAACGGUGAGAGCUAAUAUCUCUUGCUAAUGACGGUACCUGAAGAAUAAGCACCGGCUAACUACGUGCCAGCAGCCGCGGUAAUACGUAGGGUGCAAGCGUUAAUCGGAAUUACUGGGCGUAAAGCGUGCGCAGGCGGUUUUGUAAGUCUGAUGUGAAAUCCCCGGGCUCAACCUGGGAAUUGCAUUGGAGACUGCAAGGCUAGAAUCUGGCAGAGGGGGGUAGAAUUCCACGUGUAGCAGUGAAAUGCGUAGAUAUGUGGAGGAACACCGAUGGCGAAGGCAGCCCCCUGGGUCAAGAUUGACGCUCAUGCACGAAAGCGUGGGGAGCAAACAGGAUUAGAUACCCCAGUAGUCCC
rnacentral:rRNA from 1 species